rnacentral:rRNA from 1 species
AGCGAACGCUGGCGGCAGGCCUAACACAUGCAAGUCGAACGAACCUUUCGGGGUUAGUGGCGGACGGGUGGGUAACAGGGUGAAUCGUGCCUAUAAGUUCGGAAUAACUCAGGGAACCUUGUGCUAAUACCGAAUGUGCCCUUCGAGGGAAAGAUUUAUCGCCUUUAGAGCGGCCUGCGUCUGAUUAGCUAGUUGGUUGUGGUGAUGGCGCACCAAGGCGACGAUCAGUAGCUGGUCAGAGAGGAUGCUCCGCCACGUUGGGACUGAGACACGGCCCAAACUCAUACGGGAGGCAGCGGUGGGGAAUGCUGCGCAGUCGGCGAAAGACUGACGGAGCCAUGCCGGUUGAAUACUGAAGGUCGUAGGAAAGUAAAAUUCUUUCACCUGUGACUAUAUUGACGGUACCCGGAGAAGAAGCCCCGGCUAACUUCGUG